rnacentral:ncRNA from 4 species
CCGUAGGUGAACCUGCGG